AGGGAUGUAGUUAAUUAUAACAUUUGAGUUGCAUUCAAAAAGUAUCAUACUCUGAUCUUCCUUA
rnacentral:tRNA from 1 species